UUUAAUUUUUUAACUUUUUAGAAUAGGAAAAAUGAAUAUGUAUUGUAUUGGGUGGGGUGGGUACCAUCGUGGGCUUUUCUUUUUCUGUAGGCCAGUUUUAGUUUUAGUUUUUUUUUAUAUAUAUAUAAUCACUAUUUUAUAUAUAUAUCUACUACUUCUUAUUCUUGAGUUUGGUUUUUACUAUUCCUACAAGACCUCCAAUGGCAACUCGCCACGUGUCCUGCUUUUUCAAGGUUUUUUUUCUUUCCAAGAGGAGCCUGGUAAACGACAUCGUUUUUCAAUCUUCAGCAUUCUUUCUCCCCAUCUCCAAUCAACCUAGCUGGCUUAACGUGUUCAUCUCCCUUUCCCCUACCCACUCCGCAGUACCAUUCAUCACCUUCUUUUACUUGAUUCUUCUUCCACAGCUUGCAUUUUCUCCACAUCAAUCCAUCAAUUGAUGGCUUUCCCCGAUCUCCGGCGUCUUUCCAUGGCUUUUCCGGCGCUUGCCAUCACUUCCCCCUGUCAACCAAUACGUGGAUGUGUCGCAGCUGUCAAUUGGUGGUUAUGGAGCAUUUCAAAAUGGAAUACACUUCAGUGCUAAAUAAUAUUCCUAUGGAAUGUGAUGGACGAAUCACAAAUAAUGGGAAAGAAUUGAAGAGAGGCAUAAAAGCAAGGAGAAAAGAAAGGGAGAAAAGAGUUUUCUUCAAUUGCAAGAUUAUCAAGGAAUCAAAUGCUUAGAGAUUGUCAAUAGAUGAGGCAGAAUCAAUCAUGCAACACUUGAUGACCUUGAUUCAAUUUACAGCUAUGAAGAUUGCUACUUGAAAGGGAUAGCCUUUGAUGCUAAGUAUACCCUGGUGGUGAGGGGAGCUUAGAAGUUCCUGUAAACGCAUCAGUGUGGUGAAGGUGAGAAGAGAAUACAAGGUGGAGAGAAUGAAGCUGCAGAAGCCACUUCAUUGAAGAUGAGAUAAAAAGUGCUGCUUCUGAAGAAAAUUUCUAAUGGAAUCAUCCAUUCAUUGGCAGAUUUGUAUUUGCCUAAAAAAGUUGCUUGAAGCAUGAAGUGCGAGAGAGGAUCGAUCCUUAUUAAUUCUUUUGCUCCAUUUAUCUCUAACUAUUUACUUUUAUUAUAUUUUUUCCCUUCGUUUUCCGUCAUUAACCAGUUCAUUUUUCUGUUUCUGCUGAAAUACGUUUUCUUAGUUGCACAAAUCAAUUCUUUAAAAAAAAAAUUCGCUCAA